AUUCCUACGGGAGGCAGCAGUGGGGAAUAUUGCACAAUGGGCGCAAGCCUGAUGCAGCCAUGCCGCGUGUAUGAAGAAGGCCUUCGGGUUGUAAAGUACUUUCAGUAGGGAGGAAGGUGGUUAAGCUAAUACCUUAAUCAUUUGACGUUACCUACAGAAGAAGCACCGGCUAACUCCGUGCCAGCAGCCGCGGUAAUAAU
rnacentral:rRNA from 1 species